rnacentral:RNase_P_RNA from 1 species
GAGGGCUGGAUGGCCGCGGGCCUCAGGGUUCGAGGAAAGUCCGGACUCCACAAAGCAACAGUGCCGGGUAACGCCCGGGCAGGGAAACCUGACGGAUAGCGCCACAGAAAGUAAACCGCCCGUGCCUGCACGGGUAAGGGUGAAAGGGUAGGGUAAGAGCCUACCGGGGGGCUGGUAACAGUGUCCGCAUGGCAAGCCCCACUGGGAGCAAUGCCGAAUAGGAACCUUGCGCGGGUUUAUCGAUUUGUCGAUAUAGCCGCAGAGCCGCUUUGGUUUAAAGGUUCGGGUUGGCAGCUAGAGGCAUAGGGGCAACUCUGUGUUUAGAUGAAUGGUCAUCCAUGGGGUUUUGGCCCCAGGACAGAAUCCGGCUUACAGGCUCUCC